CAGUAGAUGGAAUAAUUUCACGUAGUAACUUCACAUACUUCCUAAUAUAGCCUAUAUCUUUUAAUCCUACUAGUUUCAAGACGUAUAAAAUUGAAAUAUCAGUUCUUUUGACCUUCAAGCCAGCGGCGAUUAUAGAAUGAAAAGGUAAACACCAAGUCAAUUUGCGCGUGCGGAGAAGUUCCCGGGGAUGGUCCAGUCGCUGCUCCUGCUGGGUUCUCGCCCAACCAACGGCACGUGGCUCAGCGGCUAGCAGGGCCAGGCGAGCCCCUGAGAUGAGCUGUCCAAUGAGGAGACGAGGCUGGAACCGAGCCUUCGAGUGGGCGGGGCCACUGUUUCGGAGGGCACCUACCUUCGGAUCAUGUGAGCAGAAAGCAAGAGCGCGAGGAGGAGGAGGAGGAGAGGGAAAAGCGGGAGUCUUGUAGCAAUUGGCGAUGGUGGAUCUAUAGAUUUCCCAAGGCCUUCAUUACCAUCUGAUUUGAUUACACAGUGUGCAAGUCAACUUUUUAUGACGGAAUAGACCAACCCAUGGUCUCAGUAAGUCAUAGCAAACUGCUAUCUGUUUCUUGUCCAUUGCUUGCCCCAGCUUUUGAUCAGCAAGAUAUCAUAUUAGAUGUUCUCAAGCCUGACAUGCCACCAUUAAAUUUACUACAGGACUGCAGCAAUGAACAAGUGUCUGUUCCAGCUGUUACCUCAAAUACAGUUUCUACAUCAGAUAUGGGUGUCUCGUUGUCAGUGGUAAAGAAGGAAGUGGAGAAACCACAGAAUACCAUCUAUGAGGCUUACCUCAAACUGCCAGAUUUUUGUUCUGAAGUCUCUAGAGAUUUCAUCCCUACGCUGGAAGAGAUUGAGGAGUUCCUCAAUGAGAAGAAAGCACUUGUCAAGGAUGAGCUGAAUGACAAACAACCAGGGGGACAACUUGAGAUAAAAUCUGAAAUCAACUUAAGCAGUGCAGGAGAACAGUCUGCUACUGGGACUGAGCUAGAUGAAGGCGUUUCUAGUUCUGUUCAGGCUGGAGUAGUAUCUGGAGAUAUAAACAUGCCUGGAACUGUGGGGACAAUCCCUGUUCUCCUUCAGAUUCAGCCUGUCCAAGCAGAAGAUAGCUCUUCCAUCCAGAAUUCUGUGGGUGAUACCCAGGUGGCCCACCUGAUCAUCAGAAUGCAAGGCCAAAACUUGACUGUUUAUCCUCAGGUCACUCCAAGUCCUACGAAAGGCACAGACCAGAAGUAUGUACGAAUAGCUCCUUUGCCUAUGGCAUUGAGGCCAGAAGUUCUUGGAAGUCCAAAGAGUAUAGAGACCAAGGUCCCCAAAGUUUCUCCUUCUGUUAUUCGACUCCACAAGUGUACACAUCCUGGCUGCACCAAGAUGUAUACCAAGAGUUCCCAUCUUAAGGCACACUUCCGACGUCAUACUGGAGAAAAACCUUAUACUUGUACUUGGCCUGACUGUGGUUGGAGGUUUUCCCGUUCAGAUGAGCUCUCUCGCCACAAGCGCUCCCAUUCUGGACUCAAGCCUUACCAGUGUCAAAUAUGUGAGAAGAAAUUUGCCCGCAGUGACCACUUAUCUAAACAUAUGAAGAUCCACAAAGGGUGAUUCAGUUCAGGAAGUCAGUCAGCAGGUUGUUUUCGUAAUAGUUAACUAACUCUCUGUUUCCUUGCCAAGGGAAGAUUUCCCAUCAACUCAAAGGACAGCUGAAUAGAAAAUCAAUUUUUCUUUAGGAGAGAAGUAAUCAGAAAAUGACUUGUUUAAGUUUGGGGGAAUUGUUUGAAUGUGCCUUGCAAUUAGGGUUUGCCUCCAAAUCAAGAUGUUUGGUACUUGUUAAUAAUUGUACAUUAUAUCUGAGAGGAAAAUGUGACCAUUCAGGAUGUGGAGAAGAACAGCAUGAGAUCCUGUUUCGUUAUGAAUUUUGUAAAUACUCUACUGUAAAUAUCAUUCAGGAAUUCUGUAUCUUCUAUUAAGCUGCACACAAGGGACUGUAUUCAAAUGCAAGUUACCUUUUUCAUCAUCUCUCAGCCUACUCCUAUUUGAUCAGCCUGGCACUUUUUCUAAAACCAAAAGAAUGGAAGAAAAUUAUUUCAGGUUGAAAUGCAAGCAAGUGAACAUAAACUAUAAUAAAUCCAGCAAACGAAUUAUUUACAUGAACUCCAAAUUCCUCUUUUAAAACAUAAGACUUCCUAAAUUUAUAUUGUGCUGCUUCGAAGUGAAUUUCACUGCUUUCUCUGUAAUAUGCUUUCUUUUUUUGGAGGGUGGGGGAAAAUGAAUUGUAUUUUAGAUUACUGUGAAUGAUUAUAUUGUCUCUUAAGAGCCACAUUUAAAAUGCAUAUUCAAUGGAAUGCAGAUUGCCAGAGCUCAGAAUGGUACCCAAGGUGAAUUUAUACACUUCUUGCUAUUUGUCAAAGUGCUGCAUUAUUAGAGAGUAUCUACUGCCUUUCUGAUGAGGCAAGCCAGAAUGACUCUUCAGUCCAUUUUAAUUAAAACAAUAAAGGGCCUGAUACAUUACAAUUGAUAAAAUACUAAUCAAUGUAUUAUGAUAUCUGCUAUAUAUUACUGUAUAGAAAAUCCAUGCAUUGGUUUUGCUAUCUCAGUACAACCUAUGGCAAUGCCUUUGGCUGAUCUCAAACAACCUAAGCAUGUCAGAUCUGGUUGAUACAUGGAUGGGACCAGGAAACUCCAAGGCUAUAGAUAGACUAUGAGGUUAAAAAACAUCUAAAAGAAUAGCAGUAUGCAAUAACAUUCUACGUCUAUGAUAUUUAAAAAAAAAAACUACAUGAACGUGUAGCUGUCAAAAAUCCAGCCCAAGUGAGGGAGUUUUCAUCUUUAAUAUGGUUACUUUACUAAGUAUUUGAUCUAGUUUAAGUGAACUGCUGGCGUAAAAUUUAGAACAAAUGGUCUUCUACGGUUGCAUGUGAGCACAGAAAACACCUUGUACUUAAGAGGCUACGUGCAUCCUCAAGCCAGCCAGCCAACCAGCUUCUUAUGCAUCUCCAGCCUGUCUCAAAAUGCAACAGUUCCUGCCAGAAGAGGGGAGCAUCUGUAUAUCUUGUGUAAGACUAGCAACCAUGCUUACUCAGAAAACUGUUUCUUAGAUAUGUUAUGGCUUGCCUUAGAUGUUAUAGCCUCCUUCCCCUAUGGGCACUAUUUUCAUUUUUUAGCAUGUGCCAACCUGAAUUAUUCAUGUCUCCUUUCUUUGCUCCAGUGUUUUCCACAAGAAUUGUGUACUCUAUGUCUACCACUCUCCGUCUUCAGCUAGGACUUUGAAUAAUGUAUAAAGAUAUACUACAGUGAUUUCUUCGACCACAGAACAACAUUUUGUUGAGAACCCCUGGCAUAAAUAAUCAAAAGAUUUUUAAAAGCACCUCCUUAUCCCCAGCAAAAAAUUGUACCAUGGCACAACAAAUUGUACUGAAAAAUCCUCAAAGCAAGUUGUAUUUGCCAAUAUAGAAAUCCAGAAUUCAAGCCCAGCUAUGCAGAUAUGUUUGUUUAUUAAGCGUAUUUCUAUCCUGCUGCAAUUGAAAUGCUCUCAGAGGCAUACAUAAAAUAAUACCAUUUAAAACAACCAUAGUACAAUUUUAAAAUCUGAACAUAUAAAUAACAAUAAAAGAGAACCUCAAGAGAGUAACCAUAAAAAUAUAUUUUUGCAGAUAUCAUAGUAAGAGAUCAAACUUGAAUCAAACUCCUUCCUAAUUUGUGCCUUAUUUCUUACUUCCUUAUGUCUGAAAGGAAAAUGUCAAAUUAUCUCUUUUCCAUUAUUUCAUGAAUAGGAGAAGUGAUUGGUGAACUGAUUUCCAAGGAUUUGUUGAUGUAGCAACCAUGUACUCUAAAAGAAAAAUAAAGCUGAAAUCUAUUAUAACAGAUUGUAGAUAUUGACCUUCACAUAAUAGAAUAAAAUUAACAUAGAUAAGCAUUCAACAUUGGAACUAAUUGUUCUAAGAAAUAGUAGGAUUUCCAUUGUAAGAGAUAUUCAGGAGAAAGCUGGAAAGCUGUCUUCUGGGGAUGCUUAAUUUGGAUUCCUAUCCUGAGCAGGGUGUUGACCCAAUAGCCUCUUUCAACUCUCUGAUUCAAUGAGAUUUGAACUAAUACCACCAUUACACAGCAAGUGCAUAUUCCUACAUAUGUACAUAUUCUUACAUAUGGGAGUUAUUUGGACUCAGAUAUCUUAAUUUUUUCCCAUAACUACUACCAUUCUUUAAAAUUGUUGUUAAAAGCUGAAAGCAAGUCCUAAUAUAAACUCAGAUAUAUCCUACAGUUGUGAUGAUUUGUGUAAUAUCCAGUUACAGUUUUAUGAGACACUUUUUUCUUGCACAAUAGGGCUGCCAAUUUUUUAUACUUGUUAUAAAGAGUUAUGUUGACCUCCAGGAGGCAGUAGGAGAUGAUACUGUACAUGAUCUUUAUUGGGAACCAUUGGAUGAAUAUAUUAGAUGUUUGUUCAAAUCUCCAAGAACUAAAUUUAUUGACCAUUGCAUUUUAGAUGAAUAAAUAUAUUGCAUUAAACCAGAAGUUCCCAACCUUUGGGCACCAGGGACCAGUUCCAUGGAGAGGGGUUUUUCCACGGACCGGAGAGUGCAUGGUUUUGUGUGCUGCCUGCAUCCCACGGAUGGGGCUUUGCUUGUUUGUGUGGACUGGUUGCUGGCAUGCUGUGGCUUGGGACCGGUCCAUGGACCGGGGGUUGGGGAUCCUUGCAUUAAACUUUAGAAGGUAUUCAGUUGCCACUGCUGUUGUCAGACAGAAUAUAUAGAAUCAAUCAGAAUGGUAUGUACACUCUGUUUCCCUUCAAGCUUUGAGGCAGUGUGAGAGAAAAUUUUACAUUAUUUUCACCUUCCCCCUCAUCCUAGUGGUGGUGGAUUUACUUAUUUUUACACAAUGUAUAUAGUAUGUGGUGUUUUCAGUUAAACUGAUUACCAGCAGGCAACAUAGACUAUUGUAGUUUCAUCCUUAUUAGGAAUUAUCAGAUGUACAUAGCCAGAUUCUUAUUCUAUAGGGUUCUGUAGGGGUCCCCAAUCCCCGGCCCACAAUUGGGCCAUAGCCUAUUUGGAAUUGGGCCAUGCAAGUGGCUGGCUGGAGCGCACACACGUGCAUACAGCUCAACUUGUGCGAGCUGCGGGUCGGUGGGCACUCGCAUGUAUGCACUCUGCCCACCAAUUGUGCAUGCUCAUGCAUGCUGGCCUGCUGCUCAUGCCAUCCAGUUCCCCUCUCCUUUCCCUCAUAGCCAGGCUGCCAAGCUGCAAAGGUUGGGGACCGCUGCUUUACUGGAAUCAAAUGUUGUGUAAAUCAUUGUGUGGAUUUUAGCAGAAUAAGCAUGGUUGAUUAGUGAAUGUGGAAUGGGGAGAUACUUUAGAAAAACAGUUUGUUUUGUAAUAAAUGUCACUGGAUGACCAUGCUCUUGAUUCACUCUUUCAGUUCAGAUUUGCCUUACAGGGCUAAUGUGAAAAGAAAAAAAAAAUAGGCAAAUCAAUAUUUUUUAUCCUGUUGGGAAUUCCUUGAGAGAAGACUAGGAUGCAAAUGUUACAGCAAAUAACUGUAGCUCAUGCAGUGGUUGUUUGAAAAAGUAAACUCUAUAGCAGGAACUGAAAAUAUAAAAUGGUUUUAUGAUAUUUAUUACUGCAUGUUCUUGACCGAACCUGGCAAAAGUGUAAAUCGUUUUACUUAAAACUUGUAAAAUACAGCUUUAUCUUAAUUGCAGGCAACAGUUACUAAGGAAAUACAAAAUCAGAAAUAAAAAACAGUUCAAAAACA